UGAUCCAGAGUACCGCGGGACACGUGAAACCCUGUGGGAAGCAGGAGGGACCACCCUCCAAGGCUAAAUACUACCUAGUGACCGAUAGCGUAUAGUACCGUGAGGGAAAGGUGAAAAGAACCCCGGGCGGGGAGUGAAAUAGAACCUGAAACCCUGCACUUACAAGCUGUGGAAGCACAUUUCUUGUGUGACCGCGUACUUUUUGUAGAAGGGGCCUACGAAUUACGUUAAGUA
rnacentral:rRNA from 1 species